GACGAACGCUGGCGGCGUGCUUAACACAUGCAAGUCAAACGGUGAAGCCCUUCGGGGUGGAUCAGUGGCGAACGGGUGAGUAACACGUGGGCAAUCUGCCCUGCACUCUGGGACAAGCCCUGGAAACGGGGUCUAAUACCGGAUAUGACCUGCUCCCGCAUGGGGGUGGGUGGAAAGCUCCGGCGGUGCAGGAUGAGCCCGCGGCCUAUCAGCUUGUUGGUGGGGUGAUGGCCUACCAAGGCGACGACGGGUAGCCGGCCUGAGAGGGCGACCGGCCACACUGGGACUGGGACACGGCCCGGACUCCUACGGGAGGCAGCAUUGGGGAAUAUUGCACAAUGGGCGCAAGCCUGAUGCAGCGACGCCGCGUGGGGGAUGACGGCCUUCGGGUCGUAAACCUCUUUCAGCAGGGAAGAAGCGCAAGUGACGGUACCUGCAGAAGAAGCACCGGCUAACUACGUGCCAGCCGCCGCCGUAACAC
rnacentral:rRNA from 1 species